CACUGCACGGCCGCCUGGAGGGCUGCGGGGUCGGGCUCACCUUCCCGUGUUCCGUUUGUGUAUGUUUUUUAGUAAUUGGCCAAUACGGUGUUUAUCCCGAAAAUGUUUUCAGUUAUAGAGGGGCGUUUUCAGGCCGUGUUCCUGGAAAUGAAACGCAGAAUGGGUCGAUAAGGUUUACACGUGCUUCAUGCAUGCAUCAUCGGGAGAUCAAUAUGAUUGCGCUGAGCAUUCCUGCUCAGACAAGAUGCACAUGUAGAGGUGAUGCAGGUUACUAGAUCAGGACCCAUCACUUUCUCAGUUACAUGCUCUUCUCCUUCUCCGAGUGAGAUAUUCAUUCCAAGGUUGUUCAGGACAUUGCGUCUUACAAGGAAUCCUUGUAAGAGUCAUCAGAGCGUUACAAAAAACCAUCUUCUGAAAGCCAUUGAGGACUACUUUGUCAUCAGGCCAGUUGGAUCUCAUUUGGACUGCUUGUCAUCAGCUCUCUACAAUAGUUUAUUUUGUUGUCACAAGCCCAGGCAACCUUUUCUGAGGUUUGGCCUUUAGCUGAUUGUGUAGGAUUCUCUGUUAAUCCAGCAGAGGAUUGUGAGAGCGCUGAUCUGAAUGGGUAAGCAAAUAAAGAUUUCUAUUGAGGGGAACAUCAAAAGUUGAGGACAUGCUAGACACAAUUUUGCAAAACUUUUAAAUGCCAUUCCAUUCUUUGGAACAUCUCAAAUCACAAGUCAACAUUAAAAAAAAUCAGCCCACAAAAAUUUUCGCAUUCUGAAUUUAGUUCCACUGAAACAUAUGAUACUGUUUGUACAGCAAAUUGAAACUGCUGUAGAUCUGGCUGGUGGGAACUGUGCAAUCAUCUAUACAUCAUCUUGUAAGGUCUUUAAAUUGUUUCUCACAGCUCUUGUGGGUGACCCAAUUGUAACUAAAUCCAUGUGUAUUCACAUUGAAAAACAUGCCUGGAUUCCUGAAUAUAAUGUUUCCUGUUUCAGAAAGACGACUUCCUUCUCUGAGCACAAACAGUAUUUCUGUGUUUUAAAUCACGUACCUGACUUUCUGAUCAGACAUGGUGAAUCUACCAAAUGAAUAGUUGAAAUAGACGCGUUUUAUUUAAGAGAGCAGCAAUUGUCUACUUGUCAUCCAUUUCCUGGGCACAUGCAAGGCCUGACAUUGCUCAGUCUUGUCCCAAAAUAUUAUUUUCUUGUCUGUCUGGAUUAUCUUGAUUGUCAGUGUAUCCCUACCCUGAAUACUAAGAUCAUCUUCAAAAAAAAUUAAUUGUUUAGAGAUUGUAGGAACCAGUGAUUCUCCACAGUGCAAAAUAUCACACUACAUAAGGAACUCUACCCACACAUUGUUAGGCAGGAGAAGCCAAAGGAAGUGUUUGGGUGCGUGAGAAGAAAAAGGUAUUUAAAAAACUGUCCACAGACCGAGCAUUCUGACUGCAGCCUUGACUGACUCUGGAGUCUCAGACAGUGAUCACCACCAGACAGGAUCUCCACCAAGUGUAUCAUGGCCCAAGAGAACUACUGUAGUCCAUACAAGUUGCAACACCAGGAAUAGGAGGGCCAUCUAAACUAGAUCAAGGGAUGUGACAAAUGCUUUUUAGUGAUGCUAAAUAGCUCUGAGACCUGGGUGAGUUCAGCUAUUCGUAGGGUCUUCCAUCUUUGUGCCUUGCUCUUCAAACAUUUUAUUUUCCACAAAACCCAAAUGCAUCCAAUCACAAAUGUUAAACCACUUUGUGGUCUAUUCCCAACCUACUUUAAAGGUAAGGAAAGGGUAACUUCCUAAUUUAUCUGAUUGGAAUGGAAUGUGUGGGAGCAAUAGGCAAGCUGGGUGGAUACAAGUUAUGUUCUAUCCAACACCUUUGUUAAAAUCAGUUUAGAGACACAACUCCUCAACAGGAAACAAUUUUCUAGUGUUUAACUUACAGUUGCAAAAUCUCCUGAAAACUGUGGCAAAAAUCUCUAUUAUAAAUAAUUUAACAAGUAAAUCAUAAUAUUAUGAAAUUCCUGUGUUUGAAAUACACCAGUUGUUUAGGGACAUCUGUUUAGAAACACCUUUUGUCUUUAAAUUUCAAAGAUUUUGUCAAACAUAUGUCUUCAACAUUAUUAUCUUCAAAAGUUUUUGUUUUUUCUUGUCUAUGUUUUCAGUGAGGGAGGGCAGGAAGUCAGAAAUGAUUCAUCCCAUUUUGGGAUGUGCUGCUUUUCCUGACAACAUUGAUUACAAAUCUGAGCCCACUUGUUAGCAAGAGCAACACAGAGGAUGUUUUCACAUCCAUCCUCUUAUUAAUCACUUCUUAGUUCUUGUAAAUAAUCUGCGCAAGUACAUCCUUAAUACGUCAUUUGCACUCUAAUGAAUAGAGUGCAGCAGGGGCAGCUCAGCUUUGAGAAACGUAGCCCAGAAAUUUUUAUGUGUGUUUUCUCACCAUUGUGGCUCUUUUUAUUUCCAUUCUAUUUAAUUUGUCUGAGGCAAUCGUUUUGAAUUUUAGAGCCUUGAUUCCAAACACUUAUUUUUUGCAGCUAUAUUAAAAUAUAUUUCCACCCCCACAAGAAGGGCUUAUUCAGAGAAGCAGGCUUUUAAAAAUCAGGAAACAUGUAUAAAAAGAAAACUAUUAAACAAUGUGUGUCUGGGUUUCCACUGAUAUUUUUACUGCAAUUAUAGAAAACAUUGGUAUUUUAAUGAGGUUUUUUCCAUUCAUUUGCUUCUUCAGCUUGAUUUUUUCAGUGAAGAUAUAAAUUCUGCAUUUAUGACAUCAGAUUUUUUUGCCAUGGAAUGUAAUGUACUAUCACAAACACAGUUAUGAUUACAUGACAAUUUCAAAUCAGAUGAUAAAAUACAUUCCAAGUGAGAAAACAGGUCUUUAAAUCAAGAAUAUAUGAAAUAGGAGAAAUAAAUUAUUCUUCCUAAGUGCUGAGAACCAGCGUGAUGUUAUACAGACAUAGCAUGAGGCGUUUUCUAACUUCACAGAGCUCACAACCCAAUGCAGACAGAGGCAUCAUAAAGGCGACUUGUAAUAUGCCUGUCAGGGAUAUAGACUGGAACUGGUGGUGAGACUGACACUUAUUGCGGGUGUGUUGGAAGAAGGGGUGGUGAAAAAUAGACAAAAGAGAUUUUUGAGAGCUACUGACUUAGAGAUACUCUUAUGCACUUCAGAAGAAAGAUGAGCUAAGAUAAAAUAGGGUGAGUUUGUAGUUACAAAGCUUCUCCAACAUGUGCAGGCGACUGGACUAUGGAAUGUACUUCAAGGGAGUUAGGGAGUGCAGCAAAGCACUUGGAGGAGUCUGGGCAGGGCGGAAAGCACAGAGGGAGAAUCAGUGGAUAUUAGUGUAGGGGUGUAACCACAGCUCUAUUGUGCAAAUUUUGAAGGGUUGACUGUGCCCUGGCACAAAAGGGAUAGUGAGGAAUUCAAAGGGAUGAGCACUGUUUUCUUGAAUAGUGAGAAUAGGAACUGUGUCUGAGCAAAUGAGAACAAAGAGAAAGAGGCUAAGGUAAAAUACUAUGGAAGCAGGUAUAAUGAGUGACUAAGGCACAAGUAAGGCUUUUUGUGGCAGAAAUGAGAAACAAAGGAUAAGUGCUGGGAGAACACAAAAGAAAAACCACAGGAUUUCCCAGAAGUUUGAUUACAAAGAGGUUUCAGGUAGAGACACAUACAACAUGAAAACUCUCAUUCAGAUACAAACAGAGCUACAAAUGUAUAAGCUUAUUGAAGGCUUAGAAUCCUGUCUGGGAAUGCAAAAGAGAGGAAGAGUACUGAGAUGUGUGAAAACAGUGGAAGGAAAACAAAGACAGGCUGCGUUUAGAUGGUAACCAGGAAAUAAUCAGGGAAAUAUCAGUGUGGUAAUGGAGAAAAAUGGAAAUGCUGAAAAACCAGUGAAGGACAUACCUGAACUUCAGGAAGAGGAGCUGUGGAUCCAGCCACCCUCUUACAGAUAGAUCCUCAUGUCUGUACUGUUUUCAACGCUGUGCUUUUUCUAUUGUAACAAGUCCAGCAAUUCCCUUGGGGGAGUAGAGUUCUGAACUAAUGACUUAAAAAAUUGCCAAGGACUGACAUAACUGAAAAUAGAAAGUGUCAGGACAGUGCUGUACAUAUACACUGCACACAUAUUACACACACUUACACAUGCCAGGGAAUGGGUUAUUUCUUCCAUUCUUUUCCUAACUAGGUUUUCUUUGUGGCAGACAUUUUCCACCUUGGUGCCAGGCAACUUUCAUUAGUGCAUAAUGAUGAAAAUAUUAGCCAAUAGUUUUUAAGCAGACAACCCAGAACUGUGUAGCCAUUUAGCAGGAAUAAACCAGGCUAUUCCUGAUUAAAACCUCUGACUUGUUCAAAGCAUGCAGCCCACUUUAUAGUGUCAGCCUUUCCCUAGAUUGACAUGGCAGUGGCACUGCCGUGGACAUAUAGGAACAGCUCCUUGCUGCCAUGAGGUAUUGAUUCACCAACUUUAGCUGCAGCUGUGCUAAGUCAAAACAGGAAAGAAUCAGAUCUGCCCUAACUAUCCAUUUGCCAAUUUCUCUAGUCUCUCUCCACACUGUAUAUGCUGUCUCCAACUUGGGAGUACUUGCUGUGAGUUCAGCACAGACAUUAUUCAGUUCUUGUAAUUCAGCCUCAAAGACUUAGCCUGAAAACUUACUGGAAAAAAUGCACAAAAUUAACCUGCUUGUCCUUUUACUCGAGGAUGGCAAUACAUGAAAUGGGUUAUGUGUGUUAGCAAUAAAAAAAUGCAGAACCAAAAUUUUAGGGCUAUUGAGACAACUCUGUAAUAACUUAUUUAUUUUUUUAAAAGCUUUUAUUUUUUUAAAAUUCAUUGUACUUGAUCUCGUGUUAGCAACACAUUUAAAUACUGGCAGAAAUUAUUAUUAAUUCCUUUGGUGUUUUUGUAACAAUGUAAACCAUGAUGAAUUAAUUUGGUACCAAUAUGGAUGUCAUAAGUACUUUAUCAGAUUUCCAACUCAACUCAUGACUAAUUAACUUACCGUUAUUUUAAGGAGUUACCCAGAUGUGCUUAUGAUAGAAUUAAGGUAAACAAUGACUGAUGCUCAGUCGUUAUGAUUAGAGCAGCUCUACACAAUUUGACAAAACCUCAUGUGCUUUUCAAUAUAAAGCACCUGUCAAGCCACGUGUGCAUCAGAUUUCUCAAAUUCCUUGUCAUUCAUAAUACAGAUGUAGACCAUAUUUUUAAAGUCAGUGUGUAGAAUGGAGACUUUUUCAAAAGGCAGGCAGGUUUUCUCUUCAAAACCCAUAAACUCUGUAACUGAAGUUUUUAGUGACCAACUUGUCUGCUAGUUGAAAUACUGUUGUCAUGUGUUCUACAGUUUUUUUUACACCCAAUUCAGUAUACUAUAUCAACACAUUAAUAGCAUGUGCCUAAAAAUGUAUUUUUAUAAAAUGGUACAAUUUAGGUUUGCAAAAGACUUUUUUACAUCAAACUUUUCAACUUCUUGCCUUUGUCAGGUUGUUUUCUACUUCAAGUUAAGUAGGUUUUAGUAGCGUUCUGUCACUAUUUCUGAAAACGUUCAAGGAACCAAACUACUUCUCGAGGGGAACUAUUCCAAAAUUUAACAUGUCAAAAUACCAGUACGUAAUUCAACCUAAUUACUGCAUAUUUCGUGUUUACAUCUUUGGAUAUUUGUUCUGCUUCUUAUUUGUGCAGACAAGCAGGUUGGAAUUGUAAUAAAUUAUUUAAUAAAUACCGGACAACUUGGUUUGCAAAUUAUCUGGGGAGUAUCUGAUGACUUUUGCUAACUAUGUGUUCGGCUUCUGUGAUCGAAGAAUGUCAGGGCAGUAAGGGAAGACUACAAGAGGGUGGAAUAGUUGGUUUGCUACAUUUAAAAGAGUGUAUCCAGUUAAUUUAAGAUUGAAGAGGACAAAAAGCUUCUUUGUUUACUUUGGUCUUUGGUCUUGGAUAUCAAAAGUGCAGAAGCGUACAUAUUGCAGACUGUCUAACUUGAAAGAACUGAACACAGCCGUAUGGAAACCUGGCCAUCAUUUUUAUUUUGAGCUGUGCUGCUACUUCUACUAGAGUUAGAGAUGAGGAAUUAAGCAAUGAAUGUAAGAAAUAAAAGUGAGAUAAGAAAAAGUUCCUCUUACUAAUAGAGACCGUGGUACUGACCAGUAGUCUGUGGGAGCUCGUGGUGAUCCAGACAACAGUCAUAUUUCAACAUGUGCUAUUUUUGCUUACAAAGUUAGAGUUAUAUAAUUUCUUGUUC